UACGGAGGGUGCGAGCGUUGUCCGGAAUCACUGGGCGUAAAGGGCGCGUAGGUGGCUUCCUAAGCGUGCGGUGAAAGCCUGGGGCUCAACCCCGGGUCGGCCCGGUGCGAACUGGGGGGCUUGAGCACUGUAGAGGCAGGCGGAAUUCCGGGUGGAGCGGGUGAAAUGCAUAGAUACCAUCCAGAACCCCGAUUGCGUAGGCAGCUGACUAGGCUGGUACUGACACUGAGGCACGAAAGCGUGGGGAGCGAACAGG
rnacentral:rRNA from 1 species